AGCAAGGGCACUCUGUGUCACAUUGAUAACUUACAUGUGAAAACAAUUUGUAACCUUGCAACAAUAUAAUAUUUAUAUAU